rnacentral:lncRNA from 1 species
CAAUUUAGAACCUCAAAGGACCAAACAGAAAGAUCCAACUCAAAUCAACUCACAAACAUUUCAAUAAAUCCCCAAAAAAUUCAUGGUCAAACAGAAUUCAUAACAUGACAAACACACCAAAUUUCAAGUCAUUUAGACCAAGGGAAGCAAGGCAAUUAAAUUCAUCAAGUCAACACAUACUCAAACAAGCCCAUACAAAGCAUCAAAACAUGCAUCAACUUCAAGCAAUCAUAAAACAGAGACCAAGCAUGAUAAAUGAAUGAAAUCAAAGCCAUGGCAAACUUCAAGAUGUCUAUAAUACAC